AGAAUCAACGCUGGCGGCGUGCCUAACACAUGCAAGUCGCACGAGAAAGGGGAGCAAUCCCUGAGUAAAGUGGCGCACGGGUGAGUAACACGUGAAUAAUCUACCUCCGAGUGGGGAAUAACUGAGAGAAAUCUUAGCUAAUACCGCAUAACACUUACGAGUCAAAGCAGCAAUGCGCUUGGAGAGGAGUUCGCGGCCGAUUAGUUAGUUGGCGGGGUAAUGGCCCACCAAGACGAUGAUCGGUAUCCGGCCUGAGAGGGCGCACGGACACACUGGAACUGAAACACGGUCCAGACUCCUACGGGAGGCAGCAGUGGGGAAUUUUGCGCAAUGGGGGAAACCCUGACGCAGCAACGCCGCGUGGAGGAUGAAGCCCCUUGGGGUGUAAACUCCUUUCGAUCGGGAAGAUAAGUGACGGUACCGAUAUAAGAAGCCCCGGCUAACUUCGCGCCAGCAGCCGC
rnacentral:rRNA from 1 species